rnacentral:rRNA from 1 species
UACGAAGGGGGCUAGCGUUGCUCGGAAUCACUGGGCGUAAAGGGUGCGUAGGCGGGUUUUUAAGUCAUGGGUGAAAUCCUGGAGCUCAACUCCAGAACUGCCUUUGAUACUGAAGAUCUUGAGUUCGGGAGAGGUGAGUGGAACUGCGAGUGUAGAGGUGAAAUUCGUAGAUAUUCGCAAGAACACCAGUGGCGAAGGCGGCUCACUGGCCCGAUACUGACGCUGAGGCACGAAAGCGUGGGGAGCAAACAGG